GGUGAGAUGGCCGAGUUGGUUAUGGCGCCAGGUUAAGGUCCCCCCUUAGCAACACAACACGGAUAUCCUCCGCUGUAGUUUCCUGGUCACGAAAGUGGCGUGGGUUCGAGUCCCACUCUCAUCA